rnacentral:rRNA from 1 species
GACCCGUCUUGAACCACGGAGUCUAACAUGUACGCGAGUUAUUGGGCUCGCAAUAAACCCAAAAGCGAAAUGAAAGUAAAGGUCGCGGCGCAAGCCCGGCCCAAAGAGGGGAGAUGUCCGAGUAUAUAAAAUUGAAGGACCGCAUCCCCGGGGCGUCUCGUUGUCAUUGCGACACAGUAGGCGCACCCAGAGCGUACACGUUGGGACCCGAAAGAUGGUGAACUAUGCCUGGCCAGGUCGAAGUCAGGGGAAACCCUGAUGGAGGACCGUAGCGAUUCUGACGUGCAAAUCGAUCGUCAGAGCUGGGUAUAGGGGCGAAAGACUAAUCGAGCAUCUUAGUAGCUGGUUCCUUCCGA